UACAGAGGUCUCAAGCGUUGUUCGGAUUCAUUGGGCGUAAAGGGUGUGUAGGUGGCGCGCUAAGUCGGGUGUGAAAUUUCGGAGCUUACUCCGAAACUGCAUUCGAUACUGGCGUGCUUGAGGACUGGAGAGGAGACUGGAAUUCAUGGUGUAGCAGUGAAAUGCGUAGAGAUCAUGAGGAAGACCAGUGGCGAAGGCGGGUCUCUGGACAGUUCCUGACACUGAGACACGAAGGCCAGGGGAGCAAACGGG
rnacentral:rRNA from 1 species